GAUGAAGAACGUAGCGAAAUGCGAUACGUAAUGUGAAUUGCAGAAUUCAGUGAAUCAUCGAGUCUUUGAACGCACAUUGCGCCCCCUGGUAUUCCGGGGGGCAUGCCUGUCCGAGCGUCAUUGCUGCCCUCAAGCACGGCUUGUGUGUUGGGCCUCCGUCCUCCUCCCGGGGGACGGGCCCGAAAGGCAGCGGCGGCACCGAGUCCGGUCCUCGAGCGUAUGGGGCUUUGUCACCCGCUCUGUAGGCCCGGCCGGCGCCAGCCGACAACCCAUCAUCCUUUUCAGGUUGACCUCGGAUCAGGUAGGGAUACCCGCUGAACUUAAGCAUAUCAAUAAGCGGAGGA
rnacentral:misc_RNA from 1 species